rnacentral:rRNA from 1 species
UACAGAGGUCUCAAGCGUUGUUCGGAUUCAUUGGGCGUAAAGGGUGCGUAGGCGGCGCGGUAAGUCGGUGUGAAAUCUUGGAGCUUAACUCCGAAACUGCAUUCGAUACUGCCGUGCUUGAGGACUGGAGAGGAGACGUGGAAUUUGACGGUGUAGCGGUGAAAUGCGUAGAUAUCGAUAAGGAAGACCAGUGGCGAAGCGGGUCUCUGG